AGUGAACGCUGGCGGUAGGCCUAACACAUGCAAGUCGAACGGCAGCACAGAGGAGCUUGCUCCUUGGGUGGCGAGUGGCGGACGGGUGAGGAAUACAUCGGAAUCUACUCUGUCGUGGGGGAUAACGUAGGGAAACUUACGCUAAUACCGCAUACGACCUACGGGUGAAAGCAGGGGAUCUUCGGACCUUGCGCGAUUGAAUGAGCCGAUGUCGGAUUAGCUAGUUGGCGGGGUAAAGGCCCACCAAGGCGACGAUCCGUAGCUGGUCUGGGAGGAUGAUCAGCAACACUGGACCUGAGACACGGUCCAGACUCCUGCGGGAGGCAGCAGUGGGGAAUAUUGGACAAUGGGCGCAAGCCUGAUCCAGCCAUACCGCGUGGGUGAAGAAGGCCUUCGGGUUGUAAAGCCCUUUUGUUGGGAAAGAAAUCCAUCUGGUUAAUACCCGGGUGGGAUGACGGUACCCAAAGAAUAAGCACCGGCUAACUUCGUGCCAGCCGCCGCCGUAA
rnacentral:rRNA from 1 species